rnacentral:rRNA from 1 species
GAUGAACGCUGGCGGCAGGCCUAACACAUGCAAGUCGAGCGCCCCGCAAGGGGAGCGGCGGACGGGUGAGUAACGCGUGGGAACGUACCCCUUUCUACGGAAUAGCCUCGGGAAACUGGGGAGUAAUACCGUAUAAGCCCUACGGGGGAAAGAUUUAUCGGGAAGGGAUCGGCCCGCGUUGGAUUAGGUAGUUGGUGGGGGUAAUGGCCUACCAAGCCGACGAUCCAUAGCUGGUUUGAGAGGAUGAUCAGCCACACUGGGACUGAGACACGGCCCAGACUCCUACGGGAGGCAGCAGUGGGGAAUCUUAGACAAUGGGCGCAAGCCUGAUCUAGCCAUGCCGCGUGAGCGAUGAAGGCCUUAGGGUUGUAAAGCUCUUUCAGUGGGGAAGAUAAUGACUGUACCCACAGAAGAAGCCCCGGCUAACUCCGUG